rnacentral:lncRNA from 1 species
GACAACACUCAAGUGUUAUCUUCCAGCCUUCACUGUCAUUGUUAAAGAAUUUACCCCUAUAAAUAUAGAGGUUUAACAACAACACUUGGGGGCCCUCUCUCCAACAUCAGACGUGACGUCUUGUAAACACUUGAACAAAACUUCAAGAUUUUCAAACAGCCAAUUUGCUGCCCUGAUAACCAUUUGACAACUCCUGCGUUUAUUUUUAUUGUUCUGCCACCUUCAUGGUAUGAUUCUUGUUUAAAUAGUCACUCUACUUUCCUUCUAAACAGCUUAAACAUGUACAUAUUAGAUAAGAGAAAUCUCCAAUCUCUUUAAUAUUGUAACUCGUUCUUUAAAAACAACAAAAUGGAGACAUUUUUCGUUCUAACUUGUUAUCAUGUCGGAGCUGGAUAGAGAAAUCUCCAACUUCUAGAACUCUA